rnacentral:lncRNA from 1 species
AUAAAAUCUGGGCAGCCAUUGUGACUGACACAAGCGUUUUAUCUUCUGUAUCAACAAGCAGGAUCUGUUUACAGGAAGUUUAUUAAGCAGCUAACGAGGGAAUUCCAGCAGAGACUUGCUGUGUUGGGAUACAUUCCAGGAUCCUUCACAGAUGUCGAGGCCAGUCAACUACUGGUUUCUAUUUGGAUUUUGGAUGAAAUGCAGAGAACAUUCCAAAACCAGAAAGAAAAUAGAUGAGAUGAUGUAAACAGUGUGAAAUAUACACUAUUUUAAAAAAUUUGUUUGGCAGCAAGCUGGUCGCAAGCAUGCAGCAUGGAUGUAAAAAGGUUCCGAAUGCUAACUUAAAGUGAACAAGCUUGCAGAAAGUUGGUUGCAAGCAUACAAGAAGCUGUCCGGUUGUUGUAAAAAGGGAAACAGUUCCAAAUACUAGCUUAAAGCAAACAAGCUGGCAGGAAGUUGGUCGCAAGCAUACAACAGGCUGCAUGGUUGCAAACUUGCAAGAGGCUGGUUGUACACUGGCAAGAAGCUGGUCGCAAGUUUGUAAAGAGUUCUAAAUACUAGCUUAAUGCAAAUUAACAAGCUCGCAGAAAGCUGGUCGCAAACAUGUGGGAAGUUGGCUGCAUACUUGAGCAUUAAAAUCUUAAACAUUUUGCAGGGAUAUUACACAGCAGUCACAACUGAAGCAAGUUUACAGCAAAUACAGUUAUAAUCAGAUUACUUUAAUGGAUUAAUAAAAUUAGUAAUGUACAAACCUUGCAGAACUUGCUUUGUGAAGAAGGACAUCUUGGAACAGAAUUCAUUGUGAAGUGUAUCAUUUUGAUUGGUUAGUCAGCAUUUUAUCUGCAUGAUGAUACCCAGCUUCUUUUGUCUCUUAACAUGUAUACAUACAGGUACAUGCAGGAAGAGACCGAUGGAUCAAUGAAUAGAUAGAUGUGGAUGGAUGGAUGGACGGACGAAUGGAUGGUUUUUGGUUGGUGGGCAGGUGGAUAGACAGAUAUAUGAGAGGGAUGAACAAUAUGGAAGGUUUAACAUUCAAAGCUAUUUUCUGCUAUCAUGCGUUUAUACAGAAAAUUGCCAAGAAACUUUCAUAACGCUAACACCAAUUCGCAAAAAGCAAUUAAAACAAAUUAAAACAGU